rnacentral:rRNA from 1 species
AUUGAACGCUGGCGGCAGGCCUAACACAUGCAAGUCGAGCGGAUGAAGGGAGCUUGCUCCUGGAUUCAGCGGCGGACGGGUGAGUAAUGCCUAGGAAUCUGCCUGGUAGUGGGGGAUAACGUCCGGAAACGGGCGCUAAUACCGCAUACGUCCUGAGGGAGAAAGUGGGGGAUCUUCGGACCUCACGCUAUCAGAUGAGCCUAGGUCGGAUUAGCUAGUUGGUGGGGUAAAGGCCUACCAAGGCGACGAUCCGUAACUGGUCUGAGAGGAUGAUCAGUCACACUGGAACUGAGACACGGUCCAGACUCCUACGAGAGGGAGCAGUGGGGAAUAUUGGACAAUGGGCGAAAGCCUGAUCCAGCCAUGCCGCGUGUGUGAAGAAGGUCUUCGGAUUGUAAAGCACUUUAAGUUGGGAGGAAGGGCAGUAAGUUAAUACCUUGCUGUUUUGACGUUACCAACAGAAUAAGCACCGGCUAACUUCGUG